ACCACCAUAACAACACAUUCAAGAAAACCCUAUCAACUUUAACGUUAACCUUACACCAGAACAUUCCAGGAAAGAUUAAAAAAGAGAGAAGGAACUCGGCAAAUUUUAGCCCCGCCUGUUUACCAAAAACAUCACCUCUUGACAUAAUAUAAGAGGCCCAGCCUGCCCGGUGACAAAGUUUAACGGCUACGGUACCCUGACCGUACGAAGGUAGCAUAAUCACUUGUUCCUUAAAUAGGGACCUGUAUCAACGGCAUCACGAGGGCUGCACUGUCUCCUCUCUUCAAUCAGUGAAACUGAUCCCCCCGUGAAGAAGCGGGGAUUAAGCUAUAAGACGAGAAGACCCCAUGGAGCUUUAAACACGUACUCACACUAUACUUACAUGCCCCUUAACUAAAAGCCCUGAGUACAAGUUUUAGGUUGGGGAGACCGCGGAGAACAACUAAACCUCCACGACAAACGGCCCUUAAGUCCUUAUCUACGAGCCACAGCUCUAAGAAUCAAUAUACUGAUGAUUAUGACCCGAUACUAUUCGAUUAACGAA
rnacentral:rRNA from 1 species